UUUCAUGCUGUCAGCCUGCCUCUUUCAUCAUUUUGGGCUGCCUCCUUUUAUGACUGAAUAUGCCUCCCUGUUCUGUCUCAAUUUAUUCAAUUUCCUGCUCACAAUGUCAUAGGUUCUUCUGUCUCUAAACCCCUACAUGUCUCAUUUCCUCCCUUGCUCCCUCCCUUUUUUCAUUCUCACUAAUUCUGCUCAUAUUUAAUUUUUUUUCUGCCUUGUACCAAUUUCAGACGUUUUCUCUUUU